CAGCUCUCAUCUAGUCCUUGGUGGUUAAACUUGGAGAAAGGCCACGUGAAGACACUUGGAAGCAUACACAGUCCCUCUGAAUGAAUUGUUUUCUUUUUGUAGUUGCUUUUAAAAAUUGAAGAAAUUUUAAACAGGGCUCUCAUUUGGUCAUCAGUGCAAUUCAUUUGGGUAUAGUUUGGAAUAUGACAACUGGAACAAAAAGAUCCUUGAAUUCAGUAUCUGCAGACUGUGUUUCAGAAAACUCACUCUCAGAAGAAUCCUGGGAAGCUGGUCCAGGCAGAAUUUUGAAGCAGGGGCAGUUUCAUUUUAACUCCACUUAAGUAAAGGUAAGCUACUUUGCCUUCUAUGUUCUCAGUUUCCCAUUCCACACCUCCCCUUCUCUAACCAAGACUUUCACUACAGACAACACCUGAAUUCCAAGCAGAUCUUCAGACCUCCUUGCCCA
rnacentral:lncRNA from 1 species